rnacentral:lncRNA from 1 species
AAAAGACAAAGACGGUCAACUAGUGUUCUGCAAGAUAGAUCAGGAAGUUUUGAGAAGACUUGAUUGCGGACAGGCUGGAAGUACGAGAAUAAUUGGAGUAAAUAAAACGAGCUGA